rnacentral:rRNA from 1 species
UACGUAGGGUCCGAGCGUUGUCCGGAAUUAUUGGGCGUAAAGAGCUCGUAGGCGGUCUGUCGCGUCGGCUGUGAAAACCCGGAGCUCAACUCCGGGCCUGCAGUCGAUACGGGCAGACUGGAGUUCGGCAGGGGAGACUGGAAUUCCUGGUGUAGCGGUGAAAUGCGCAGAUACCAGGAGGAACACCGGUGGCGAAGGCGGUUCUCUGGGCAUGUCCUGACGCUGAGGAGCGAAAGUGUGGGGAGCGAACAGG